UACGAAGGGGGCGAGCGUUGUUCGGAUUUACUGGGCGUAAAGGGCGCGCAGGCGGUCUUGAAAGUCAGGCGUGAAAGCCCCGGGCUUAACCUGGGAAUUGCGCUUGAUACUCUGAGACUGGAGUACGGGAGAGGGGAGUGGAAUUCCCAGUGUAGAGGUGAAAUUCGUAGAUAUUGGGAAGAACACCAGUGGCGAAGGCGGCUCUCUGGACCGUAACUGACGCUGAGGCGCGAAAGCGUGGGGAGCAAACAGG
rnacentral:rRNA from 1 species